rnacentral:miRNA from 1 species
CAGCGAGCCAGCGGAGACCGGCAG